rnacentral:rRNA from 1 species
UACAGAGGGUGCUAGCGUUGUUCGGAAUUACUGGGCGUAAAGGGCGCGUAGGCGGCCUGUUGAGUUAAGUGUGAAAGCCUCGGGCUCAACCUGAGAACUGCAUUUAACACUGGCAGGCUAGAGAUCGCAAGGGGACAGUGGAAUUCCUAGUGUAGAGGUGAAAUUCGUAGAUAUUAGGAAGAAUAUCGAUGGCGAAGGCAGCUGUCUGGGGCGAUACUGACGCUAAGGCGCGAAAGCGUGGGGAGCAAACAGG